GAUGAACGCUGGCGGCGUGCCUAAUACAUGCAAGUCGAGCGAACAGAUGAGGAGCUUGCUCCUCUGCCGUUAGCGGCGGACGGGUGAGUAACACGUGGAUAACCUACCUAUAAUACCGCGACCACUUCCGGAAACCGGAGCUAAUACCGGAUAAUAUAUUGAACCGCAUGGUUCAAUAGUGCAAGAUGGUUUUGCUGUCACUUAUAGCUCGCUCCGCCCCGCAUUAGCUAGCUGGUAAUGUAACGGCUUACCAAGGCAACGAGGCGUAGCCGACCUGAGAGGGGGAUGGGCCACACUGGAACAGAGCGACGGUCCAGACUCCUACGGGAGGCAGCAGGAGGUAAUCUUCCGCAGUGGGCGAAAGCCUGACGGUCCAACGCCGCGUUAGUUAUGAAGCUCCUCGGAUCGUAAAACCCUGUUAAUAGGAGAGGACAUAUAUAUAGUUGACUGUACUCUUCGGGACGGUACCUAAGCAGAAAGGCACGGCUAACUACCUG
rnacentral:rRNA from 1 species